rnacentral:rRNA from 1 species
GACGAACGCUGGCGGCGUGCUUAACACAUGCAAGUCGAACGAAGUGGCGAACGGGUGAGUAACGCGUAAUCAACCUGCCAUUCAGAGGGGGACAACAGUUGGAAACGACUGCUAAUACCGCAUACUGAAGGAGGGGAUUGCGUCUGAUUAGCUAGUUGGAGGGGUAACGGCCCACCAAGGCGAUGAUCAGUAGCCGGUCUGAGAGGAUGAACGGCCACAGUGGGACGGAGAUACGGCCAAGACGACUACGGGAGGCAGCAGUGGGGGAUAUUGCACAAUGGGCGAAAGCCUGAUGCAGCGACGCCGCGUGGGGGAUGAAGGCUUUCGGGUUUUAAACCUCUUUCGCUAGCGAACGGGUAGGUGGAGAAGAAGCGCCGGCUAACUACGUGCCAGCAGCCGCUGUAAUAC